AUUGAACGCUAGCGGGAUGCCUUACACAUGCAAGUCGAACGGCAGCACGGACUUCGGUCUGGUGGCGAGUGGCGAACGGGUGAGUAAUGUAUCGGAACGUGCCCAGUAGCGGGGGAUAACUACUCGAAAGAGUAGCUAAUACCGCAUACGCCCUACGGGGGAAAGGGGGGGAUCGCAAGAGCUCUCACUAACGGAGCGGCCGAUGGCUGAUUAGCUAGUUGGUGGGGUAAAGGCCUACCAAGGCGACGAUCAGUAGCUGGUCUGAGAGGACGACCAGCCACACUGGGACUGAGACACGGCCCAGACUCCUACGGGAGGCAGCAGUGGGGAAUUUUGGACAAUGGGCGAAAGCCUGAUCCAGCAAUGCCGCGUGUGCGAAGAAGGCCUUCGGGUUGUAAAGCACUUUUGUCGGGGAAGAAAUCGUUUGGGUUAAUACCCCGAGCAGUUGACGGUACCUGAAGAAUAAGCACCGGCUAACUACGUGCCAGCCGCCGCAGUAA
rnacentral:rRNA from 1 species